GACGAACGCUGGCGGCGUGCUUAACACAUGCAAGUCGAGCGGAAAGGCCCUUCGGGGUACUCGAGCGGCGAACGGGUGAGUAACACGUGAGUAAUCUGCCCUUGGCUUUGGGAUAACUACCGGAAACGGUGGCUAAUACCGGAUACGACAACCGUCUGCAUGGGCUGGUUGUGGAAAGUUUUUUCGGCCAGGGAUGUGCUCGCGGCCUAUCAGCUUGUUGGUGGGGUAAUGGCCUACCAAGGCUUCGACGGGUAGCCGGCCUGAGAGGGUGACCGGCCACACUGGGACUGAGACACGGCCCAGACUCCUACAGGAGGCAGCAGUGGGGAAUAUUGGACAAUGGGCGGAAGCCUGAUCCAGCAACGCCGCGUGAGGGAUGACGGCCUUCGGGUUGUAAACCUCUUUCAGUACCGACGAAGCGCCGAUGAUGGUGGUGACGGUAGGUACAGAAGAAGCACCGGCCAACUACGUG
rnacentral:rRNA from 1 species